GAUGAACGCUAGCGGCAGGCUUAAUACAUGCAAGUCGAGGGGCAGCACAGGUAGCAAUACUGGGUGGCGACCGGCAAACGGGUGCGGAACACGUACACAACUUACCUUAGAGUGGGGGAUAGCCCAGGGAAACUUGGAUUAAUACCCCAUAAAACAGGGGGCCCGCAUGGGCAUAUUGUUAAAGAUUUACCGCUUUAAGAUGGGUGUGCGUAUGAUUAGGUAGUUGGUAGGGUAAAGGCCUACCAAGCCGACGAUCAUUAACUGGUGUGAGAGCACGACCAGUCACACGGGCACUGAGACACGGGCCCGACUCCUACGGGAGGCAGCAGUAAGGAAUAUUGGUCAAUGGACGGAAGUCUGAACCAGCCAUGCCGCGUGAAGGAUGAAGGUCCUCUGGAUUGUAAACUUCUUUUAUAGGGGGCGAAAAAGGGCCAUUCUUGGUCAACUGACGGUACCCUAUGAAUAAGCACCGGCUAACUCCGUGCCAGCCGCCGCGGUAACAC
rnacentral:rRNA from 1 species